CUGAUGGGGGGAACUUGCCUCCUAGGCUGGCAGAGAUGACUGAUGACAUGGUUAUUGUUUCACCGGUGAAGGCGAAGCAGCUGAAAGUUUAUUUUCGUCAAAGACUCAAGAAUGUCCUGAACCAGGAGGAAGCUGGAACUCCCAAUUCUGUCACUGUGCUUCCUCCAUCACCCUCAGACGUGGCAGCUGCUGACACAGAUCCAUCUGAGUAUCCUGUUUCAGAUGUUGACGCUGUGUUGGCAACUCCGUCUAGAACAUUAACUUCCUCCCUGUCUGAUGUGGCAGCAGCACACGCGGCUCCGUCGGAGGCUAAUGCCUUAGACGUUGAUGCUGAGUUGGCUGCUCCAUC
rnacentral:misc_RNA from 1 species